GCAUCCUUAGCUCAGCUGGAUAGAGCAACAGCCUUCUAAGCUGUGGGUCGUGAGUUCGAAUCUCGCAGGAUGCGCCA
rnacentral:tRNA from 1 species